rnacentral:rRNA from 1 species
UGCAGUCGAGGGGUAUAGUUCUUCGGAACUAGAGACCGGCGCACGGGUGCGUAACGCGUAUGCAAUCUACCUUUUACAGAGGGAUAGCCCAGAGAAAUUUGGAUUAAUACCUCAUAGUAUUAUAGAAUGGCAUCAUUUUAUAAUUAAAGUCACAACGGUAAAAGAUGAGCAUGCGUCCCAUUAGCUAGUUGGUAAGGUAACGGCUUACCAAGGCUACGAUGGGUAGGGGUCCUGAGAGGGAGAUCCCCCACACUGGUACUGAGACACGGACCAGACUCCUACGGGAGGCAGCAGUGAGGAAUAUUGGACAAUGGGCGCAAGCCUGAUCCAGCCAUGCCGCGUGCAGGAUGACGGUCCUAUGGAUUGUAAACUGCUUUUAUACGAGAAGAAACACUCCGACGUGUCGGAGCUUGACGGUAUCGUAAGAAUAAGGAUCGGCUAACUCCGUGCCAGCAGCCGCGGUAAUACGGAGGAUCCAAGCGUUAUCCGGAAUCAUUGGGUUUAAAGGGUCCGUAGGCGGUUUAAUAAGUCAGUGGUGAAAGCCCAUCGCUCAACGGUGGAACGGCCAUUGAUACUGUUAGACUUGAAUUAUUAGGAAGUAACUAGAAUAUGUAGUGUAGCGGUGAAAUGCUUAGAGAUUACAUGGAAUACCAAUUGCGAAGGCAGGUUACUACUAAUGGAUUGACGCUGAUGGACGAAAGCGUGGGUAGCGAACAGGAUUAGAUACCCUGGUAGUCCACGCCGUAAACGAUGGAUACUAGCUGUUGGAAGCAAUCUCAGUGGCUAAGCGAAAGUGAUAAGUAUCCCACCUGGGGAGUACGUUCGCAAGAAUGAAACUCAAAGGAAUUGACGGGGGCCCGCACAAGCGGUGGAGCAUGUGGUUUAAUUCGAUGAUACGCGAGGAACCUUACCAAGGCUUAAAUGUAGAUUGGCC